rnacentral:rRNA from 1 species
AGAGUUUGAUCAUGGCUCAGAUUGAACGCUGGCGGUAGGUUUUAUCCAUGCAAGUCGAGCGGUAACAGACAUUUUGAUUCAGCUUGCUGAAUCUAGUGCUGACGAGCGGCGAACUGGUGAGUAACGCGUAGGAAUCUGCCCAGUAGCGGGGGAUAGCCCGAGGAAACUCGGAUUAAUACCGCAUACGCCCUAAGGGGGAAAGGGGGCAUCUUUGAUGCUCUUACUAUUGGAGGAGCCUGCGUAAGAUUAGCUUGUUGGUAGGGUAAAGGCCUACCAAGGCGACGAUCUUUAGCUGGUCUGAGAGGACGAUCAGCCACAUUGGGACUGAGACACGGCCCAGACGUCUACGGACGGCAGCAGGAGAGAAUAUUGGACAAUGAGGGAAACCUUGAUCCAGCCAUACCGCGUGUGUGAAGAAGGCCUUAGGGUUGUAAAGCACUUUAAGCGAUGAAGAAGAAAAGUAAGUUAAUACCUUAUUUUUUUGACGUUACUCGCAGAAUAAGUACCGGCUAACUCCGUGCCAGCAGCCGCGGUAAUACGGAGGGUACAAGCGUUAAUCGGAAUUACUGGGCGUAAAGCGCGCGUAGGCGGUUAAGUAAGUUGGAUGUGAAAGCCCUGGGCUCAACCUAGGAACUGCAUUCAAAACUAUUUAACUAGAGUACGAGAGAGGAGAGUAGAAUUUCUGGUGUAGCGGUGAAAUG